rnacentral:rRNA from 1 species
AUUGAACGCUGGCGGCAUGCUUUACACAUGCAAGUCGAACGGUAACAGGCCGCAAGGUGCUGCCGAGUGGCGAACGGGUGAGUAAUGCAUCGGAACGUGCCCAGUCGUGAGGGAUAACGCAGCGAAAGCUGCGCUAAUACCGCAUACGAUCUAUGGAUGAAAGCGGGGGACCGUAAGGCCUCGCGCGAUUGGAGCGGCCGAUGGCAGAUUAGGUAGUUGGUGGGGUAAAGGCUCACCAAGCCAACGAUCUGUAGCUGGUCUGAGAGGACGACCAGCCACACUGGGACUGAGACACGGCCCAGACUCCUACGGGAGGCAGCAGUGGGGAAUUUUGGACAAUGGGCGCAAGCCUGAUCCAGCAAUGCCGCGUGCAGGAAGAAGGCCUUCGGGUUGUAAACUGCUUUUGUACGGAACGAAACGGUCCUGGUUAAUACCUGGGGCUAAUGACGGUACCGUAAGAAUAAGCACCGGCUAACUACGUGCCAGCAGCCGCAGUAAUAC